UGGGGAAUAUUGGACAAUGGGGGCAACCCUGAUCCAGCCAUGCCGCGUGUGUGAAGAAGGCCUUUUGGUUGUAAAGCACUUUAAGCAGGGAGGAGAGGCUAAUGGUUAAUACCCAUUAGAUUAGACGUUACCUGCAGAAUAAGCACCGGCUAACUCUGUGCCAGCAGCCGCGGUAAUACAGAGGGUGCGAGCGUUAAUCGGAAUUACUGGGCGUAAAGCGAGUGUAGGUGGCUCAUUAAGUCACAUGUGAAAUCCCCGGGCUUAACCUGGGAACUGCAUGUGAUACUGGUGGUGCUAGAAUAUGUGAGAGGGAAGUAGAAUCCCAGGUGUAGCGGUGAAAUGCGUAGAGAUCUGGAGGAAUACCGAUGGCGAAGGCAGCUUCCUGGCAUAAUAUUGACACUGAGAUUCGAAAGCGUGGGUAGCAAACAGGAUUAGAUACCCUGGUAGUCCACGCCGUAAACGAUGUCUACUAGCCGUUGGGGUCCUUGAGACUUUAGUGGCGCAGUUAACGCGAUAAGU
rnacentral:rRNA from 1 species